CGCCUUCUGAUAAACACACAUAGAAGAUCCCGCCUGCCCUGUGAUAUUAAAUUUAACGGCCGCGGUAUUUUGACCGUGCAAAGGUAGCGAAAUCACUUGUCUUUUAAAUGAAGACCUGUAUGAAUGGCAUAACGAGGGCUUAACUGUCUCCCUCCCCCAGUCAAUGAAAUUGAUCUGCCCGUGCAGAAGCGGACAUAACGCCAUAAGACGAGAAGACCCUGUGGAGCUUCAGGCAAACAAGUAGCCCCUGUAAAGACUAAUCUUAAUAAUAAGUAAAACAUUGGGGUGACUAUUUCGCUGCCUUUGGUUGGGGCGACCGCGGGGCAUAAAAAACCCCCAUGAGGAAUUGGGACAAACCCCCCUCAAACCGAGAGCACUAGCUCGAAAUAACAGGAUAUCUGACCUAACUGACCCGGCAAAGCCGAUCAACAGAACCAGUUACCCCAGGGAUAACAGCGCAAUCCUUUCCGAGAGUCCUUAUCGACGACAGGGUUUACGACCUCGAUGUUGGAUCAGGAUAUCCUAAUGGUGCAACCGCUAUUAAGGGUUCGUUUGUUCAACGAUUAAAAUCCU
rnacentral:rRNA from 1 species